UUCAGUUGAUUUCUUAGCUGUUUAUGUCUGAUAGUAUUACUAAUGUUGGACAAUUCCUCCCAAUGCAUUCAUUGGAAAACAAAAGGUAACAGAAUUUAUAAUAAGAUUCUGAAGAAAUCCUACAAAUGAGUCGACAAUACUUCAUAGACUUACUACUUCUACUACAUCUUUAGUACUAGAGAAACUGGCUAAAUUAGUGUCAGGCACAGUUUAUUUAAGGAGGCUGCUAAGUUCUCCGGUAUGCACUGCAGAUAUUGUUUCAGCAGAUGCAUUAAAUAUAUAUAGUAGACCUCAUUUAGAGUCUUCUUUCGUCUAUUUUUAUCUUUUCUAUUGUUAACAUCUACAGGGGAUCUUUGACAAAUACUUAAGCUUGGACUUUAUUAGUCCUGCUUUACAGCUAACAAAUGGCUUACUUAUUCUGGUAGGUGUAAUAUUUCUUUAUUACUCUAAAACAUUAUGUUAGGAACUGAUAUUUCCACAAAAAAAUUGAUAUAUCCACAUGAUCCCUCCCACAUGAAUAGUGAGUGGGUCUCACCUCCAUGUGAGAGAGACUCAUGUGGAAAUAUCAUUGACCUGUAGAUGUUGAACAAUAGAAAAGAUAAAAAUAGACGAAAGAAGACUCUAAAUGAGAGUUUCCUAUUGACAUCUAAUUAAAUUAAAGUUUUAUACUAGCCCGCUAACAUAAAUGACCAAGAUGAAGGGUACCUACUUUCCGCCUUCAUUGAAACAGUUCAGCUUAGUUAGGAAAGAAGACUGUUCUAAAUUUAUCUACUCUACAUUGAGGCAUCGCAUAAUAGAAACGACCAAAUUGGUAUGGAUGGAAUACUUGUAAAUAAAAAAAAGGAGUUUGACUUGAUGCUAGACAUGUGGGCUCUUUGUAAUUACAAAUCAAAGAGAGACACGAGUAUGUGAAACAUUUUAUUCACUGUUAUAAUUAGAUAAAUAUUCCCUUUUCUUCCUUUUAUUUUGAUAUGGAUUUGGAGGUGUUAUUAUCUUCUCUUUUAAGAAUAGAGAACUCCUUGAUUGAGUAUGUUCCCAUCUUUUUUCUGUGUUGAGGAUUGGGGUUGUAAAAAAUGUAAAUGGAGGUGCUGCCCCCCUAUACCCAUGGGAUUUGCCUGAUGGGAUUAGGAAGCAAAUACUAUAGAUAUGUAACAUAUGUUGAAUUUCGUAUCAUGUUUGAUUCAAUGGUGGGUUUAAAUAGGGAUAAUUCACUCUAAAUUGACUUGUGUAAGCUUAAGGAAACAACUAACCUAACAAGAAGAAGCUUGAUUUGGCUGCCGAUUGUGACACUGAUGGGAGAGGAUGCCCUCAAUCAGGUAUAUCAGUUCCUGCAUUUUGCAUUAUGUUACGCCAUUAUCUUGUAUCUUUGCAUUCCAGAGAGAGUGUGGUGUCUAGGUUUUCUGCUGAAGCAGAAUACAAAGCACUAGCAUGUGAAAUUACUUGGUUAAAUGGUAUACUUCAUUAUCUGCAAAUGCCAUUUUAUUAGUGUAUUUUGUUAAUGCAGCUGCUAUUGCACUAUGAGACUCUUGGCAUGAGCACUAAGCUUAGGCUCCUUGUGCACACAAUGCUAAAAAAGAUAUUUAGCUUUGAGUUCUUUGCUUAAGGCGAAACACAUCGAGUUGGACUGCCAUUUCAUUAGUACAACUGUACAAGUACAAAGAAGCCCAAUCAAUCCCACUUGCAGCGACAAAGCUACAGUUGCCAGAUAUAUUUUCCAAGGGCUUGUUUGUAAGUUUUAUUUUGGUGGUGAACGCAGCUUGUACAGCCAGUGGCGAAGCUAUGGUAAAAAUGUGGGGUCAAUUGACCCCACUCAAUUUUUGAAAUCACUUAAAAAAAAAAUUUUACCCCACUCAAUUUUGACCCCACUCAGAUUUUUUUUCUUAAUUAGAGAUACCCAAGCGGCAAGCCUCAGUCCUAAAUCUCAUAUAUCAAUAUCUGUUCAGCACUUCAGCCACAAAAUAGAGAGAGAAGGGGCAAAGCCAAAUCACAAAAGGCAAAAGCCAAAUCGUGAACCAUCAAAGCCUUUCGCGAGUGGUUGGAGUGGGUACUGGUGACUGGCGAGCUGCGAGUGUGGAGACUGGAGUGCGACUCUAUUCUACUGUGACUCUCUUGCAGUCUUGUGCCCUUGCAGGUAACAGAAAUUACUCUCUUCAAUUUCUCCAACUUCAGUUUUGUUUUCAGAAAUCAAUUGUGAUUUCCCCCUUUUGUUAGUAUUAUUAAAUUGGAUAUUUGGAUGCAUUUGUUUAACCCGAAAGUAUAAAGUAUUAAAAAAAACUGUCUUGGGGCCGCUUCCCCCUAACCUCGCCAAAUUUUUUUGAACUUACUAAUAAUUUUGACCCCACGGCUAUAACUUCUGGCUUCGCCACUGUGUACAGCAGCAGCAAAUAGCGUACACAUCAAGGACUAACUCCUUGCUUUUUUUUAAAGCAAGCAAGAUCUUGAGCAAUGGAGAAUACAGAUGCCUCGUCCAAAACGUAAAAGGGAGCAAUCUUGCUUGUGGUUGAUUACAUCCAGCUGUGGUGGUUUUGGGCAUGUUAGAAAAGCAUUGUAAUAGGAAGUUAGUUAAGGGUGGACUUUAGCAAUUUGUUAAGCUGGUAUACAUAUUCAGUUUAAUGAAAUUAGUUUGAGCUCCAAAAAUAUGUUCUCUUCCCUUUUGUUCCAAAGAUUCUUACUUGAUUUUGGCAAAUUAACGUUUAUACUCUUCAUUUCAAAAUAUAUUUUUGGUUCACUCUUUGAAGUCUAUAAUUCUAUAAAUUUAUAGAAGUAGUAUGUUGUAAAUGGAUUUUCAUUUUUAUUUUGUA
rnacentral:lncRNA from 1 species